CUGAGUUUCUUCACCGACCGUCAUCGUUGAAAUAUGCUGACUGAUAAGUCGUCCGAAUGAAGAUUUGCCUCUCAGGCCCGAACGUUCUACCGGUACCAUCGGCAUCUCGAUGCUGCAAACCCUCUCCGCAAUUGCAACUGAAGAAUCUAGUAGGAUUUGCAAGGAUGACACAACCUUGUCCGCAAUUGCAUUCGAAGAUUCUCGUUUGAUUUCCAAGAAGAAGGCUUUCAGUUGUCCAGGCCAGGCCAGGUGACCAAUGACGAUGAUAGAUCGGGUUCGAUUCAAGCUAUACGCUUGGUGUAUUUGGUUAUCGUGACUGGCGACUUGAGUCUAACUCAUCUCUCGUCCAAAGCGCGGUGGCUGGGUCCCAGGCAUGCUUGCCACUUUGUUCCACGGUCCUCAUCUAAGUUUCGACGGUGAUGACAUGGACUUAGGUUCAAGGAACGUGAUCCCCUUGAGUCAUUGUGGUUGAUUGAUGGGGGCAAUAGACGGUGGCGUGUCGCUAGUCAUUCAAUUGGUCCCCUUGUUUUAGAGUGUUGGCGGGAUAAGUCUUACGACUGUUAACAAUAGUAAGCAAUAGCCGGCCGGUGACCCCCUACCUGAUCUCGAGGGGGAUGGAAUGACUGGGGAAUAGGCCUGUUGUUAACCUGCGGAAUUUCGUCGGACGAAAUGUCAGGCGUGUCCGUGUGGGACUUGUGCUAAACCAGUUUAGUACAUAUGACGAAGACAUUGGGCUCUUUGAAUAACAACAGUGUCCUUGACCUCCUUGUGCCUCACAAAGCUAAUAAUAUACACCCCCUGAAAUCGACAAGAUGGCGAUGAAGAAGGAGAGCCGGCCUCCAGCUUGUCAGCCGAGAAGACACUGGAUGGACCACAAGGAUAUGUUGCUGCCAAUGUUGGAGCCAUACAGGGCAGCCCGAGCCAACAUUGUACAAGGGCCACAAGGACAAGUGCCACAAGGACAAGUGCCACAAGGACAAGGGACACAAGGACAAGGGACACAAGGACAAGGGACACAAGGAAAAGGGACACAAGGAAAAGGGACACAAAAGACGAUGUUGCAGUCUACAGGGCUAUGCAGAUGACUGGAGAUGAUGGCUGUUGAGUUGACCCAAUGACUUCCACCACGAUCUACGAUGCGUACUGAAGCAAGAACGACUCUCAAAGACCCAGAAAGCAACAGAUGCCAACACUUCGCCCCAUGAUAAGAUACCUUUAUACCCAUCCAUCGACAAUUUGGGGAAGACGGCCUUAUUGACCUCCAUGGGGAUCUUCCUGGCAGAUGUUGUAUGAGGAAGGAUUCAAAGCGUAUACACCAUGCUUGGAUGAGGGCCUGAGAGUCGUGUAGAUUCAAUGGAUGGAAUCGUCUCGCUCAGGGAUAUCGGCGGUGGACACUUACAUCGUGUGUCAUUCGAAUAGACUUUAAUGACAAUCGAAAUGAUGCUCUAAGGGGACUCUGAUGACUCUAAGGACAUAGAGCCCUUCUCGUUAUGUAAUGUGAUGCCAUAUCCAGCAGCCACCAUGGAGCCAGCUCAUCUGUUACAUAUGGAAGGAUGCCAUCUCAUACGGAGAUGAGCCAUCCUACAGAAGGGAGGAGGAUGUUGCUGAGCCAGCGCAUCUCUAGCUCCCGUCGCCGUCAAGGAGGUUGGAUUUUUGUCACCGUAGGCCUUACCCUUUUAUUGCAAUAUCUGAUUGAAAGGUGAUUUGAUAAAAAUCCUGAUAUUCUAUUUUCCGAUUGCUAGAGGGCAAUUAUUUGCCUUCUUUCGGGCAAUGACAAACUCUAGCCAUGGCUCAAAACCGUACACAUUUAAAGACGAUUUUAAAAAUUGGGGGAGGGUAGAAUAAGGUAACCAGGGGAACCAGGGCAUGUCACAAGCCCAGAAAUUAUUUUCAAGCAAGAUUAAUAAGAAAAAUUAAAAUGUGGAGGGGAUAUUCUGGCUAACAGGACAGCCAACAGGGUAAGUUGGUACCCAAACAAAACAUUCGCAAUAGCCUUGGGUACAGUGGGACCCUACCGGCUGCUUCAGAUUUGUUUCAAGCGAAAAAUAUCUUUCACCGAAUCAUCAGAUAUUGUAUUUGGUUAUGUCCAUCACAUGAGACAUGGGGUUCACAUGACAUUCGCUUUGCUCUAACCCCAGGCAAAGCGAAUGAACAUGUGUGUCUUGAUGGAACUGUAGGCCUUUUUACUGUUUCUUGAUCUCCUCAGUACCACAGAAUCCACCAGCAUUUAAACACCACCUGGGCCCAGGCGCCAAAGAUCCUUCGUAAUAUUGGCUGGCUCAGUUGCUCAGUGUCUUUACCUUCAUACUUGAGACAACUGACCAACAACACAAAUCUAGUGAAUUUUUAUUUCCUCGUCACUUUUUAAUCAAUACCCGUGAACAAAAAAAUCACUGGAUGGAAAACAUCUUUUCACCAAUUUAACUGAUAUUUGAUAAGCUUUGUCAAUAAAACUAUUGUUUUAAAAUAGUCGAUGUUAAAAUAUUAAGAUAUUAAACUAUUAAAAUAGAAAUGUGUCAAUAAAACUAUUGUUUUAUUGAAACUUAUCAGAAUAAGACUGGUUCUUGAUCCUACCUAUAGCGGUCUCACAGGAAAGAAUCUUAGUCUUUUUCUUUGUUUCGAUUCAAGAAGGCUUUCAUUGCAAGAGCAUAAUUAUCAUGUUCUGCUGGCUAUGAAAUUGAAAGAUAUCAAUUUGCCCAUCAAGAAAAUUUGUAUUGGACUUGGUACUGAAUGAUUUGAGAAAAGUGUAACGUCAAUAUAUUUGUAAGACGUUUUAUGUUGUCAUGUAUGUAAUUAUAUUUGUAAUGCAUGUAAAUCUUGUAAGUAAAAUAAAAGAGAUCUAAGACUCAACUUGCAAAAAACCUGGCAGACCAACAUCCAGUCUUGCUAGGUCAAGCUACCUCUUUUGUCAUGCAAAUACAUGUCACCUCUGCUCCUUUCAUCAUGCUAAUUGGCAGCCUCUGUCCAGUUCCUGGCCAUGAGAAAUGUGGUUCUUUUGUUAUUCAAAUUGGGCCCUUAACCCAUGUAGUCAUCAUGGAUUAAUGAGAGCAGUGACCUAACCUAUUGUUCGCUGAAUAUGGCUCAACUUAAGUCAUACACAAUAGGUUUUAAUACAUUUACAAUAGCUAAAACUUGUAUAGAAUGUAUACGAACAUGAUGAAUGCUUGCAGAGGUUGGAAUUGUUGAGUCAUCUAGUGUAAGAUCUCUAUUCAGCAGUGUCUUUUUUGGACAUUUUAAAGGAGGAGAACAUGUGUGAUAGUACAAUUAUCUCAAUGUCUCGUCCUUUAAUGGGCAUUGGAGCUGCACAGUGACUAUGAUCGAUGUAAUGUACAUGUAUGAAGUCAUUAUAGUCGUAAGCGCUGUGCUUGUCAUCUGUGUGAUGGAGUUGACGACUCCCUCCGAUUGCGUAGGUUUUCUCCCGUUGAAACGGUUUUCCUCCUACACUGACUUUCCAAGUUGCCAUGUGAGGAUAAUUCUUGGAAUAUG